GAUGAACGCUGGCGGCGUGCUUAACGCAUGCAAGUCGAACGAAGCACUUUAUUUGAUUUCCUUCGGGACUGAUUAUUUUGUGACUGAGUGGCGGACGGGUGAGUAACGCGUGGGUAACCUGCCUUGUACAGGGGGAUAACAGUUGGAAACGGCUGCUAAUACCGCAUAGGCGCACAGCAUCGCAUGAUGCAGUGUGAAAAACUCCGGUGGUAUAAGAUGGACCCGCGUUGGAUUAGCUAGUUGGUGAGGUAACGGCCCACCAAGGCGACGAUCCAUAGCCGACCUGAGAGGGUGACCGGCCACAUUGGGACUGAGACACGGCCCAAACUCCUACGGGAGGCAGCAGUGGGGAAUAUUGCACAAUGGGCGAAAGCCUGAUGCAGCGACGCCGCGUGAGCGAAGAAGUAUUUCGGUAUGUAAAGCUCUAUCAGCAGGGAAGAUAAUGACGGUACCUGACUAAGAAGCACCGGCUAAAUACGUG
rnacentral:rRNA from 1 species